CAAGGGGGUGCUUGUACCGAUUCGUUCUGAUAAGGUUGCAGGCUGAGAUUAUACCCAUAGAACCUGAUACGGGUAAUGCCGGCGCAGGGAAAUUGAAU
rnacentral:ncRNA from 1 species